rnacentral:rRNA from 1 species
UACGAAGGGGGCUAGCGUUGUUCGGAAUUACUGGGCGUAAAGCGUGCGCAGGCGGCCUCUUAAGUCAGACGUGAAAUCCCCAGGCUUAACUUGGGAACUGCGUCUGAUACUGGGAGGCUUGAAUGCGGGAGAGGGAUGUGGAAUUCCAGGUGUAGCGGUGAAAUGCGUAGAUAUCUGGAGGAACACCGGUGGCGAAGGCGGCAUCCUGGACCGACAUUGACGCUGAGGCGCGAAAGCCAGGGGAGCAAACGGG